AAUAGUGUGCCUGAUUAAAGGAUUAUUUUGAUAGAAUAAAUCAAGUAAAAUUUACCAUUAUUG
rnacentral:tRNA from 1 species